CCAGUUUGCAGCACUUUAAUUUUUUUUGGAAAUUUUGAACAUUUGUGCUGCAACCAUGGUUACAGUAGAUAAUUCCAAAAUUCUAAAAGCGUACAUCUCAUUGCCACAUGUCAUGUUAUAUAUCAAUACAGUUUCAUUUACUUUGGUGCACAACUCUCUGAAAAAAUGCUGAUUUUAUGCAUUUUUCCAUAGGGUCAAUGCAAAACUUGCUCCCAGUUUCCAUGACAACGGCGGCCAUUUUGGACUAUCCAAAUAUUGUCUUGAUAUCUUAGCAUACUGGGUAACAUUUUCAUAAAGUUUCAUCCAGUUGGGUCUUAUAACGAAAGAGUUAGAAUUUUUGAUAUUUUAGCUUGUUUCCAUGGUAACAGCGGCCAUUUUGGAAAUUCCAAAGUCAAAUGGGACAUCUCCAUAUGCCAGUCAAUAUUUGUGUGAAGUUUCAUUAACUUUGGAGCAUUUUGAUUUUUUGGACAUUUUUGCUGUUUCCAUGGUAACGGCGGCCAUCUUGAAAAUGCCAUACCCCGAUUGCAAAUCUGCACAUGCUGGUUAACAUUAUGGUUAAGUUCCAUUAACAUUGGUUCAUAAAAUUCCAAGAUAUAAGCUGGACAAAAAUAGUGGAAGAAAAAAAAUAAAAAUAAGAAAAAAAGAAACGUAGAAAAGCAAUAUGUCACCCCAACUCCGUUGAGGGUGCCAUAAUAAAAGAAAAAAAGAAACGAACAAUAACAAGAUGUCACCCCAACUCCGUUGAGGGUGCCAUAAAAAGAAUCGAACAAUAACAAUAUGUCACCCGACCUCCGUCAGGGUGACAUAACUAUAAAAA
rnacentral:lncRNA from 1 species